rnacentral:rRNA from 1 species
CAGCAGCGCGGUAAUACGUAGGGUGCAAGCGUUAAUCGGAAUUACUGGGCGUAAAGCGUGCGCAGGCGGUUAUAUAAGACAGAUGUGAAAUCCCCGGGCUCAACCUGGGAACUGCAUUUGUGACUGUAUAGCUAGAGUACGGCAGAGGGGGAUGGAAUUCCGCGUGUAGCAGUGAAAUGCGUAGAUAUGCGGAGGAACACCGAUGGCGAAGGCAAUCCCCUGGGCCUGUACUGACGCUCAUGCACGAAAGCGUGGGGAGCAAACAGGAUUAGAUACCCCCGUAGUCCCUGUCUCUUAUACA